GCAGGGGUGGGGAGGCGGGGAGGGAGGCAGGGCAGGCACUCUAGCUACCCAGAUGGCCCUGGCAGAAGGGAAAUGAAGGGAAUCUGGAAAGAGAGAGAUGCAGUCUAGAGAGGUCACUGGCCAGCUUUCCCAAUGGAACCUGGGAAACCUACAGCUGGGCUGAUCUGGGAUUUCUGAGCAGGCUCUCCCACAGCAACCCGGGGACAGCUUCCUUGUUCAGAGUCUGCACCCGCUCUGGAUUUCAAUCAGCUAGGUCCACGGAAGAGCAGUCCCUGGGGACCCCCAGGCAGAGACACCCCCCUUGAGUCAUCAGCCCCCAGGGACCUUUCCUUCCAGGUCACCGUCUUGAAUGAGGUCAGGCUCCAAAUGAGGCUCUGGGGGGCCCCUAAUUCAGGGCAGGGGCGCCGUCAGAUCUCUGAGCAUCAGGCCUGGCCCAAAUGGAGAGGCAAAAGAGGGACCGCAGAGCGGCACCGGGAGAAGAUCUGGUCCAACAAACGCGGUCAAAGUGAAUGGAAUUCUAUCAUUUCAUAAGGCAGGGGCCUCCCGAGUGUCAUGGCAUCCAGCCAUCUCAGGUCACAAAGGACAAAACAGGGGCCAAAGAAGAGAGCAGAACUUAUUCAGGGUCACCCAGGGUGCUAGUAAGUGGAAGAUCCAGGAGUCGGCCCAACCGCCCAGGAUGCCCCCUGUUCUAAGCCUCCACUCAGCCCUGUCACCCCUGUUCUAAGAUCCCUCUCAGAUCUGACACCCCCUGCUCUAAGGCCCUUCCUAACUCUGGCACCCCCUUUUCUAAGGCCCCUUCUAGCCCUGUCACCCCUGUUCUAAGAUCCCUCUCAGAUCUGACACCCCCUGCUCUAAGGCCCUCCUAACCCUGACACCCCCUUUUCUAAGGCCCCUUCUAGCCCUGUCACCCCUGUUCUAAGAUCCCUCUCAGAUCUGACACCCCUGCUCUAAGGCCCCUCCUAACCCUGACACCCCCCUUUUCUAAGGCCCCUUCUAGCCCUGUCACCCCUGUUCUAAGACCCCUCUCAGAUCUGACACCCCCUGCUCUAAGGCCCCUCCUAACCCUGACACCCCCUGUUCUAAGGCCCCUUCUAGCCCUGUCACCCCUGUUCUAAGAUCCCUCUCAGAUCUGACCCCCCCCUGCUCUAAGGCCCUUCCUAACUCUGACACCCCCUGUUCUAAGCCUCCCUUCAGCCCUGUCACCCCCUUUUCCAAGUUCUCUCCUAGCCCUGACAUUCUCUGUUCUAAAGUUCCUUCCUAGUUCUGAUAC